rnacentral:rRNA from 1 species
AUUGAACGCUGGCGGCAGGCCUAACACAUGCAAGUCGAGCGGAUGAGAAGAGCUUGCUCUUCGAUUCGGCGGCGGACGGGUGAGUAAUGCCUAGGAAUCUGCCUGGUAGUGGGGGACAACGUUUCGAAAGGAGCGCUAAUACCGCAUACGUCCUACGGGAGAAAGCAGGGGACCUUCGGGCCUUGCGCUAUCAGAUGAGCCUAGGUCGGAUUAGCUAGUUGGUGGGGUAAUGGCUUACCAAGGCGACGAUCCGUCACUGGUCUGAGGGGAUGAUCAGUCACACUGGCAAUGAGACACGGUCAAGACUCCUACGGGAGGCAGCAGUGGGGAAUAUUGGACAAUGGGCGAAAGCCUGAUCCAGCCAUGCCGCGUGUGUGAAGAAGGUCUUCGGAUUGUAAAGCACUUUAAGUUGGGAGGAAGGGCAGUAAGUUAAUACCUUGCUGUUUUGACGUUACCGACAGAAUAAGCACCGGCUAACUCUGUGCCAGCCGCCGCCGUAACAC